AUGAAUCGGUAUCCCGUGAUUAAAAUCAGCUUCGGAUCAUUUGUGGCAACCAAUUAUCAAAACGCGCUCAAAGAGAUCGGACGAAUAUUUAAGCAGGUCAUCGAAGACCACGCCAAUGUCACGACCAGCUUCGAUGACCCGAUCUUCACCCGGAUCACCAACGGAAACGCUGACAAGAGAACCCUCUUGGAAUUCGUUCCUCUCCUUUGCGGUUGCGUCGCCAACGAGACUGACCCUAUCCUCAUCAUCGACGCCUACGACACCCCCUUGCCUCCCGCCUACGCCGCCGCCUACUACUCCAAAAUGGCCGAAUUCAUGGCCAAGUUCUUCGAGGAAAUCUUCAACGACGGCUACUACGGUUCAGCAAGAUGCUCAUCACGGGAGUAUCGACCGUGGAGUUUGAGUUGUCCACCUGCGCAAGGAGGGCACGGAAGCCAAACCCCCCACUACAACUCGCUAGCUCGGUUCUUUGGGUUCACGGAGGAGGAAGUGGUUGCGCUGUUGGCGCGAAACGGGAAGAUUAAAGACAACCAACGCACCCUGGAGGAGAAUUUCGGUGGCUAUGGUUUUCGCGAUUUCAAUGGGACAAUGCUCAAUCCUAGUGGCGUCAUUAGGUAAUGAGUUAUUUCAGUUUUAAUUUUGCGUUGCAAAAUAUUUUUGACGAUAUUGCAGUAUAUUUCCAGAUUGAUCGAAGGAAAAGGACUAGAGAGCCUCUCGAAUCCAAAAUAUCAGCGGGCAAUGGCCCAAUGGCGCGGCCUUUUUUUUUGCAAGGAAAGCACGUGACGCUAAUGAUGCGAGGUGAAAAUACUCAAUGGUUAUCAAACCGAUGUCAAAAUGCUUUGAAGGGCAAAAUUAUUAUGAAGAGUAUCCCUUUUCCUCACUGAAAAAUAGUUCUGUUGUCACAAACCAGAAUUUGGUUGUACUUCGGAACCAGAUUUUCCGGUUUGAUUUAACCAGAAUUACA
rnacentral:lncRNA from 1 species